AUGGCUCGCUCGCCUGCCAACUUCGUCUUGCUCCUUAUGGCAGCGGCAACCUGGAGCUUCUUCCUUGCCGCCCACGCAGGCAGGCUCCAGCCAAGCUGCAUAGGGCGCGAGAGGGACGCUUUGCUGGCCUUCAAUCAAGGCAUCAGCGAUGACCCCUACGACUAUCUCAAGUCGUGGCGACAAGAGCGCCAAGAUUGUUGCCAAUGGGCAGGCGUCACCUGCGACAACGCAACCGGUCAUGUCGUCAAGCUCGACCUUGGUGGGACAUAUUUGGUCGGCAAGAUAAGUCCAUCCUUGCUUUCUCUAGAGCAUCUCGAGUACCUCAAUCUCAACUGGACGCGACUGUGUGGGCCUGACGGUCGUGUUCCAGAGUUCUUGGGUUCCUUAAAGAACUUGAGGCAUCUUGAUCUAUCCGGCAUGUCUUUCUCUGCUCUCUUGCCUCCUAAGCUUAGCAACCUGUCAAAGCUGGAAUACCUUGACCUAUCCAACAUACAUUUCAAUAAACGGAUUGUCUUAACAGACAUCUCAUGUGCAAACCAAUCCCUCGCACACCUAAACCUAACAACUCUUCACUUCCUUGAUCUCUCCUACAACUUCUUUGGUCAUCCAAUCGCCUCCGGUUGGUUUUGGAGUAUCAAAUACCUUGACCUUACUGAUAUACCACCAGGGUUGGGGAAUUACACUAGUUUGAGGUAUCUUUCUCUUUCGAGCAACCAUCUUACUAGACCUAUACAGCUAGAGACAGUGAGUCGUACUACAUUAGAAGUCCUCGACCUUUCUGACAACAAUAUUACUGGAGUUAUACCGCCAUGGUUGGGGAAUUGCACUAGUUUGAGGCACCUUUCUCUUUCUAAGAACCAUCUCACCGGGCAUGUCCCAUCUAAGAUCAGUUUGCUCGGCAAUUUGACUCAACUCGACCUUAGCAAUAAUAAUUUAGAUGGUGUGAUCACGGAGGAACACUUGGUUUCUCUAAAGAACUUAGAGCACCUGGGUCUAUCACACAAUUCUUUGUUAGGGCAUCUGCCAUCAGAGUUUGGAGCUACCGGCUUAGUAGAAUUGACAUUAUCCUACAACUACUUUAGUGGGCAUAUUCCUGAAUCUAUUUGUAUGUUGUGGGACCUGCUUGUCUUGGAUUUAUCAAACAACCUUCUCAUGGGUGGACUUCCUCGAUGUUCUCGAAAGCCUAACUUGGCUUUCCUCCUCUUAAGUCACAAUAAGUUUUCUGGCAAGUUCCCAUCAUCACUGAAGAACUACUCGAGUUUGGCAUUCAUAGAUCUUUAG
rnacentral:rRNA from 1 species